rnacentral:tRNA from 1 species
GCUCGGCGUAACGGGGGGCGUUGGCGCGGUGGACGCCGGCGGAGGUGGCCUCGAAUACCAGGUCCGGGGUCUCGUCCUGGGCCAGGAGCCA